rnacentral:lncRNA from 1 species
CUUAGAUCGGGAUAGGCAAGCAGCUAGUUUGGUCUUAGAUUGGGAUAGGCGAGCAACUCGUUCGGUCUGCAUAUCUGGAUAGGCAAGCAGCUAGUUUGGUCUUAGAUCGGGAUAGGAGAGCAGCUAGUUUGGUCUUAGAUCGGGAUAGGCGAGCAACUAGUUAGGUCUGCAUAUCUGGAUAGGCAAGCAGCUAGUUUGGUCUGCAGUUCCUGAUGUUAUAAGUGGCUGCCACUCCACCACACCCCUACCCCUUGGCUGUCAAUUAAAAUGUCCACUUUCCCAUAAUGGACAUGUUGCAUAGAAGACCUGUGUACCAGAGCAUAUAAAAGGAGUUGAAGAUGGAGUAGUGGUCUUUGUUUUCCACCAUGGACUUGAAGGCACUGCUUUUGUCUUUAUGGCGCUGGAAUUUUCGGCAAGGGAGUGUUUCCACUCUGCCGCCUUUCUAUUCUUGAACAAACCUUCCCUCUCACAGCUGAUGUCUCUUCUGACCUGUUAAUGUUCCUUCUGUACCUGCCGACUAUCACACUGCGAGGAAGAUAUUUUUAUGAUGGUGUCACCAUGAUAACAUCAAAUGAGGUAUGUACUUCCACUUAGUUCUGUGAAUUAUAUACGUGGUAGUGCAGUUGGAACACAUAUAAAUAAGUUAUAAUACGAAGCUGUUCAGAAAGCUGAAGAGAGACUAGUUUUUCUACCUCAGCAUAUGAAGGAAAGCCAUAUUUACACCCUAGCAAAGUGAUAAUCUGUGGGAGGCAGUGGAGCAGAGAAUGGAACUAUUAUAACAGGGAACUUCAAAAUUUUGAAUAGCAUUAAAAGAUACAUUUAUUUUGGUGCAAAAAUUUUGGAAGGCAUGGACAGCUUUUUGUAAUAUUCAUUUCCGUUAACUUUUUGGAGAUUUUUGUGUGUGCAUGAAUUUCAAAAUUUUAUAUCCAAAUAAACUUACCUUGCAAAAAAAUUUUUGAAGUACU